UACAGGGGGUGCAAGCGUUGUUCGGAAUCACUGGGCGUAAAGGGUGCGUAGGCGGGUCUUUAAGUCAGAGGUGAAAUCCUGGAGCUCAACUCCAGAACUGCCUUUGAUACUGAGGGUCUUGAGUAUGACAGAGGUGAGUGGAACUGCGAGUGUAGAGGUGAAAUUCGUAGAUAUUCGCAAGAACACCAGUGGCGAAGGCGGCUCACUGGCCCGAUACUGACGCUGAGGCACGAAAGCGUGGGGAGCAAACAGG
rnacentral:rRNA from 1 species